rnacentral:tRNA from 2 species
GCCGGGAUAGCUCAGUCGG